rnacentral:rRNA from 1 species
AUUGAACGCUGGCGGCAGGCCUAACACAUGCAAGUCGAACGAGUGGCGGACGGGUGAGUAAUUGCUGGGAAACUGCCUGACGGAGGGGGAUAACUACUGGAAACGGUAGCUAAUACCGCAUACCAUCAGAUGUGCCCAGGUGGGAUUAGCUAGUUGGUGGGGUAACGGCUCACCAAGGCGACGAUCCCUAGCUGGUCUGAGAGGAUGACCAGCCACACUGGAACUGAGACACGGUCCAGACUCCUACGGGAGGCAGCAGUGGGGAAUAUUGCACAAUGGGCGCAAGCCUGAUGCAGCAAUGCCGCGUGUAUGAAGAAGGCCUUCGGGUUGUAAAGUACUGUCAGCGGGGAGGCGUUACCCAAAGAAGAAGCAACGGCUAACUACGUGCCAGCAGCCGCGGUAAUAC